rnacentral:rRNA from 1 species
AGCUUGCUCUCGGGUGAUCAGUGGCGAACGGGUGAGUAACACGUGAGUAACCUGCCCCAGACUCUGGAAUAACCCCGGGAAACCGGAGCUAAUACCGGAUAUGAGACGGAGAGGCAUCUCUACCGUCUGGAAAGUUUUUCGGUCUGGGAUGGACUCGCGGCCUAUCAGCUAGUUGGUGAGGUAACGGCUCACCAAGGCGACGACGGGUAGCCGGCCUGAGAGGGCGACCGGCCACACUGGGACUGAGACACGGCCCAGACUCCUACGGGAGGCAGCAGCGGGGAAUAUUGCACAAUGGGCGAAAGCCUGAUGCAGCGACGCCGCGUGAGGGAUGAAGGCCUUCGAG